UGAGGAAUCUUCCGCAAUGGGCGAAAGCCUGACGGAGCGACGCCGCGUGGUGGAUGAAGGCCUUUUAGGUCGUAAACACCUGUUCUGAGGGACGAAAUUUUUGACGGUACCUCAGGAGAAAGUAUCGGCAAACCCUGUGCCAGCAGCCGCGGUAAGACAGGGGAUACAAGCGUUACUCGGAAUCACUGGGCGUAAAGCGUCUGUAGGCUUUCUGGACAGUCUGAGGUCAAAUGUCGGGGCUCAACCCCGUCAACGUCUUGGAUACUACUAGAAUUGAGCAAUGGAGAGGCACCUGGAAUGCCAUGUGUAGGAGUAAAAUCCGUAGAUAUAUGGUAGAACGCCGAAAGUGAAGACAGGGUGCUAGCCAUUCGCUGACGCUGAGAGACGAAAGCGUGGGGAGCAAAGCGG
rnacentral:rRNA from 1 species